CUACGUGCCAGCAGCCGCGGUAAUACGUAGGUCCCGAGCGUUGUCCGGAUUUAUUGGGCGUAAAGCGAGCGCAGGCGGUUAGAUAAGUCUGAAGUUAAAGGCUGUGGCUUAACCAUAGUACGCUUUGGAAACUGUUUAACUUGAGUGCAAGAGGGGAGAGUGGAAUUCCAUGUGUAGCGGUGAAAUGCGUAGAUAUAUGGAGGAACACCGGUGGCGAAAGCGGCUCUCUGGCUUGUAACUGACGCUGAGGCUCGAAAGCGUGGGGAGCAAACAGGAUUAGAUACCCUGGUAGUCCACGCCGUAAACGAUGAGUGCUAGGUGUUAGACCCUUUACGGGGUUUAGUGCCGCAGCUAACGCAUUAAGCACUCCGCCUGGGGAGUACGACCGCAAGGUUGAAACUCAAAGGAAUUGACGGGGGCCCGCACAAGCGGUGGAGCACGUGGUUUAAUUCGAAGCAACGCGAAGAACCUUACCAGGUCUUGAC
rnacentral:rRNA from 1 species